UACGGGGGGAGCAAGCGUUGUUCGGAUUUACUGGGCGUAAAGGGCGCGUAGGCGGUAGCACAAGUCAGUUGUGAAAUCUCCGGGCUUAACUCGGAAAGGUCAACUGAUACUGUGCGACUAGAGUGCAGAAGGGGCAACUGGAAUUCUUGGUGUAGCGGUGAAAUGCGUAGAUAUCAAGAGGAACACCUGCGGCGAAGGCGGGUUGCUGGGCCGACACUGACGCUGAUGCGCGAAAGCCAGGGGAGCGAACGGG
rnacentral:rRNA from 1 species